rnacentral:misc_RNA from 1 species
AACUGAUACUACCUGCGGGAACCUGCGGAAGGAUCAUUACCGAGUUUACAACUCCCAAACCCAUGUGAACAUACCUGUCUUGUUGCUUCGGCGGCGCCCACGGCCCUCACGGGCUUGGGGCCCGCCAGAGGACCCAAACAAAACUCUUUGCAUUUUGAAUACAGUAUUCUGAGUGACAUGAUUAAAUAAAAUCAAAACUUUCAGCAACGGAUCUCU